rnacentral:lncRNA from 1 species
AGACACUGGAGUUACAGCAGAAAACUCAGAGUGGUGUGUCGGUCCAGUGUGUCAGCGGUGCUGCUGAUUCUUAACUCAUGGAUCUUCUAUCAAGAAUAAAAUCUGUCUUUGGACAUGGCAGCCAUGGCAGCAGGAAUGUGCAGUGACUGGUCAUACCAUAUCCACUGUCAAGAAGCAGAGAGAGGUGAGAGCUGGAUCUACGGAUCAGUUUCCCUCUCAACUCUUCAACUCCAUCUGGAUCUUUACUGGAAGCAUACGAGAAAGCUUGCCGGUUCUUCUGAAGAGCAGGACAUCCUGGCAGCACAGUGUUGUCUCCAUCAUCUAAAAUUUCUCAGUGCUAAGCUUUUACAUUUUAUCCACGAUAGCCCCUGUCUUUCCUGUUGCAGCUAUUCAUGGGCGCUUUGGAGCAUCAUCACUGGAGGGGCGUCUGUUGUGUGAUGGGCUGUUACAAGUGUGGAAAAGUCUUACUGGCUUCACAUAAAGGUUCUAAUAAUAUCU